GGGGAAUUUUGGACAAUGGGCGCAAGCCUGAUCCAGCCAUGCCGCGUGAGUGAAGAAGGCCUUCGGGUUGUAAAGCUCUUUCGGACGGAAAGAAAUCGUGCAGGCUAAUACCCUGCGCGGAUGACGGUACCGUCAUAAGAAGCACCGGCUAACUACGUGCCAGCAGCCGCGGUAAUACGUAGGGUGCGAGCGUUAAUCGGAAUUACUGGGCGUAAAGCGUGCGCAGGCGGUUGAUUAAGACAGGCGUGAAAUCCCCGGGCUUAACCUGGGAACUGCGCUUAUGACUGGUCAGCUAGAGUACGGCAGAGGGGGGUGGAAUUCCACGUGUAGCAGUGAAAUGCGUAGAGAUGUGGAGGAACACCGAUGGCGAAGGCAGCCCCCUGGGCCGAUACUGACGCUCAUGCACGAAAGCGUGGGUAGCAAAC
rnacentral:rRNA from 1 species